CUGUACCCACUGCCUUAGAGACUCCCCUGCCUGGGAAACCAAGACGACAUGCCCUCAGGGGCAGCGCCUUCCGUGGCCCAGCGAUGGAUGAUGUGGGAAGAGCUACAUUUGCCCUGGCACAGGCACCCUAGCACCAGGAGAACCAGAUAUGGCCUCACCUGGAUGCAGACUUUCCCCAUCCUGCCACCUCAUCACUCACCUUGGACCCUGAAUCCCCAAGAGACUUCUAUUGGCUGA
rnacentral:lncRNA from 1 species